AUUGAACGCUGGCGGCAUGCCUUACACAUGCAAGUCGAACGGCAGCACGGGAGCAAUCCUGGUGGCGAGUGGCGAACGGGUGAGUAAUAUAUCGGAACGUGCCCAGUCGUGGGGAUAACGUAGCGAAAGCUACGCUAAUACCGCAUACGAUCUAUGGAUGAAAGCGGGGGAUCGCAAGACCUCGCGCGAUUGGAGCGGCCGAUAUCAGAUUAGGUAGUUGGUGAGGUAAAGGCUCACCAAGCCGACGAUCUGUAGCUGGUCUGAGAGGACGACCAGCCACACUGGGACUGAGACACGGCCCAGACUCCUACGGGAGGCAGCAGUGGGGGAAUUUUUGGACAAUGGGCGCAAGCCUGAUCCAGCAAUGCCGCGUGCAGGAUGAAGGCCCUCGGGUUGUAAACUGCUUUUGUACGGAACGAAAGGUUUGUCUUAAUACGAUGAGCUCAUGACGGUACCGUAAGAAUAAGCACCGGCUAACUACG
rnacentral:rRNA from 1 species